GUGUCUUCUCCUCCCUAUGUAAGGGCCAAAGGGUGGCAGUGGGAGGCAGAGUGUUGGAGACGGGAGACGGCAGAUGGUAUUGCAACUGGCAGUGUCAGAAUAGGAGAAGGUAGCGGUGGUGGAGGAGGAGGAGGCGGUGGAGGUGGAGGAGGCCGUGGAGGAGGAGGUGGAGGAGGCGGUGGACGAGGAGGAAGAGGCAGUGUACAAGUAAGAUUAGGCGGUGGUGGAGGACGUUGUGGACGAGGAGGAGGAGGCGGUGGUGGUGGAGGAGGAGGAGGAGGUGGUGGAGGACUAGGAGGUGGAGGAAUCAUAGGAUCAUUAGUGUUGGAGGAGACCUUCAAGUUUGUGCUGCAAGUGAAGCCACAGAAAUUUUCAAAUCCUUCUGCUGCCCCUCAGGGCAUUGCCUCAGUGCAGCUUCAGUCUUGGGGACAGCAUUUGUAAUUGAGGCAGGGGUUGGCAGGAGCAUCCUGUGUGAGGGACCUAAGACCCCAGCAAGGCUGUUGGGGCAUCAAUUGCCAAUUCCUUUUCACUGAAGAUGAGCAUGGAAAAGUGGUGUUUUAGAAAGGAUGCUGACAAACAUGGGAAGUUGAGGAAUUUCCACACUCAAGUCUACAGCCACAAUUCUCCUUCUGUCACCAGCAUUGCACACCGGUGUCUGCUGUGUUCUCACCUCUGCACUUGAACAGCAGAUACCCUCACUCCUUUCAGUGCAGACAGGGAGGAUUAUAAAGACCUAACGGCAUAACAUUGCACUCAAAAGUCCUCCUUGUCAGAAAACAAAAAAAAAAACAAAGAGUGAGGGAGAUUACAAGGACCUCUUUUUUUUCCACCUCUACCGCCACCGCCACCUCCUCCUCCUCUACUGCCUCCUCCUCCUCCUCUACCGCCUCCUCUUCCUUGGCAGAAACUUGCUGGCCAAAUGGCUCUGCGUGCCCCUGGCUAGGGCAUGGUGGUAGCAAUGAUGGUGAGCCCAGCGAUGUCAGGAGCAGUUGCCAGGGACCUGGUGUGCAAAGGUGGCUUCUCUGGGGAGGUCUGGUGGUGAGCGCUGCUCACCGCUCAUAGUUCUAGUUCCAUUGGACACCCAAGAGGAGCAUGUCUCCGUGGCCCUGUAAGGCAGCAGCUGGCGGGUCCCAGCAUCUUCGUGACCCUGUGUGAUGCGUUGCCUGUCCCCUGAUUGGCUGGCUAGCGAUUGUUAGCUGUUUUGCAAGUGUCUUGUCAUCAAUAGAUGGUGUGUCUUCUCCUCCCUAUAUAAGGGCCAAAGGGUGGCAGUGGGAGGCAGAGUGCUGGAGACAGGAGACGGCAGAUGGUACUGCAACUGGCAGUGUCAGAAUAGGAGAAGGUAGCGGUGGUGGAGGAGGAGGAGGAGGAGGAGGUGGAGGAGGCGGUGGACUAGGAGGAAGAGGCAGUGUACAAGUAAGAUUAGGCGGUGGUGGAGGACGUUGUGGACGAGGAGGAGGAGGCGGUGGAGGUGGAGGAGGAGGAGGAGGUGGUGGAGGACUAGGAGGUGGAGGAAUCAUAGGAUCAUUAGUGUUGGAGGAGACCUUCAAGUUUGUGCUGCAAGUGAAGCCACAGAAAUUUUCAAAUCCUUCUGCUGCCCCUCAGGGCAUUGCCUCAGUGCAGCUUCAGUCUUGGGGACAGCAUUUGUAAUUGAGGCAGGGGUUGGCAGGAGCAUCCUGUGUGAGGGACCUAAGACCCCAGCAAGGCUGUUGGGGCAUCAAUUGCCAAUUCCUUUUCACUGAAGAUGAGCAUGGAAAAGUGGGGUUUUAGAAAGGAUGCUGACAAACAUGGGAAGUUGAGGAAUUUCCACACUCAAGCCUAGAGCCACAAUUCUCCUUCUGUCACCAGCAUUGCACACCGGUGUCUGCUGUGUUCUCACCUCUGCACUUGAACAGCAGAUACCCUCACUCCUUUCAGUGCGGACAGGGAGGAUUAUAAAGACCUAACGGCAUAACAUUGCCCUCAAAAGUCCUCCUUGUC